CCUACGGGAGGCAGCAGUGGGGAAUUUUCCGCAAUGGGCGAAAGCCUGACGGAGCAAUACCGCGUGAGGGAAGAAUGCCUACGGGUUGUAAACCUCUUUUAUCAGGGAGGAACAAAAUGACGUGUACCUGAUGAAUAAGCAUCGGCUAACUCUGUGCCAGCAGCCGCGGUAAGACAGAGGAUGCAAGUGUUAUCCGGAAUUACUGGGCGUAAAGCGUCUGUAGGUUGUUGAACAAGUCAACUGUUAAAUCUUGAAGCUCAACUUCAAAAUCGCAGUCGAAACUGUUUGACUAGAGUAUAGUAGAGGUAAAGGGAAUUUCCAGUGGAGCGGUGAAAUGCGUAGAUAUUGGAAAGAACACCGAUGGCGAAAGCACUUUACUGGGCUAUUACUGACACUCAGAGACGACAGCUAGGGUAGCAAAUGGGAUUAGAUACCCCAGUAGUCCUAGCCGUAAACUAUGGAUACUAGAUGUUGAACAGAUCGACCUGUGCAGUAUUAAAGCUAACGCGUUAAGUAUCCCGCCUGGGAAGUAGUGCUCGCAAGNGUAAGAAACCGUACGAAAGGUUAAGUUGUUACGGCGUGAGACGUUGCGACGGACGACGACGAGGGAGGAGG
rnacentral:rRNA from 1 species